UACGUAGGGUGCGAGCGUUGUCCGGAAUUAUUGGGCGUAAAGAGCUCGUAGGCGGUGUGUCGCGUCGGCCGUGAAACCUGCAGCUUAACUGUGGCUUGCGGUCGAUACGGGCAUCACUGGAGUUCGGCAGGGAGACUGGAAUUCCUGGUGUAGCGGUGAAUGCGCAGAUAUCAGGAGGAACACCGGUGGCGAGCGGUCUCUGGCGAAUGACUGACGCUGAGAGCGAAGCGUGGGAGCGAACAG
rnacentral:rRNA from 1 species